rnacentral:rRNA from 1 species
GACGAACGCUGGCGGCGUGCCUAAUACAUGCAAGUCGAGCGGAUCACUUCGGCGAUCAGCGGCGGACGGGUGAGUAACACGUGGGCAACCUGCCUGUAAGACGGGGAUAACACCGGGCAACCGGUGCUAAUACCGGAUAAUCCUUUCCUUCACAUGAAGGAAAGCUGAAAGACGGUUUCGGCUGUCACUUACAGAUCGGCCCGCGGCGGAUUGGCUAGUGGGUGAGGUAGCGGCGCACGAAGGCCACGAGGCGUAGCCGACCUGAGAGGGUGAUCGGCCACACUGGGACUGAGACACGGCCCAGACUCCUACGGGAGGCAGCAGUAGGGAAUCUUCCGCAAUGGACGAAAGUCUGACGGAGCAACGCCGCGUGAGCGAUGAAGGCCUUCGGGUCGUAAAGCUCUGUUGUCAGGGAAGAACAAGUACCGGAGUAACUGCCGGUACCUUGACGGUACCUGACCAGAAAGCCACGGCUAACUACGUGCCAGCCGCCGCCGUAAUAC